UACGUAGGUGGCGAGCGUUGUCCGGAUUUAUUGGGCGUAAAGCGCGCGCAGGCGGUCGCGUAAGUCUGCUGUGAAAUCUCCCUGGCUCAACCGGGAGGGGGCGGCGGAGACUGCGGGACUGGAGGGACCUAGAGGCCGGUGGAAUUCCCGGUGUAGUGGUGAAAUGCGUAGAGAUCGGGAGGAACACCUGUGGCGAAGGCGGCAUCCUGGACCAACACUGACACUGAGGAGCGAAAGCCAGGGGAGCAAACGGG
rnacentral:rRNA from 1 species